UUAAAUAUGGAACGCUUCACGAAUUUGCACGUCAUCUUUGCGCAGAGGCCAUGAUAAUCUUCUGUGUAUCAAAAAUAUGGAACUCUUCA